rnacentral:lncRNA from 1 species
CGCAUAAAACGUGUACGUCAUUAGCAGAGCGACGUUGAUGCAAAUGUGCCUGGGCAUCUUUUGUUUCUCUCUUCGCGCUGCCUCAAUGUCUCCUUUUGCCGCAGGAGUUCGCGAUGGAAUUGCCUCUGCAUCUACCUGCUACAUACUGCUGUUACAGGUCCGGAACCGUCGGGGUUUGUAGUUUGUUUUGUCCCAGGAUUCAAUAAAAGAAAUCGACCGUAGCAUUGUCUGGUCCGAGAGGUGACACCGCGCGGACGGACAUUCCCUGGGAGGAGGGGGAAAUAAAAAUGCCAUGUUGCUAGCACGAGCGCAGGAGGCGGGAAUGUCUUCUCGUUAUCCGAGGCGACGCCUUCACGAAGUCGUACCACCGUCAAGGCUUCUCAACCAUCCAAACAAUGCCAGAAAGCCCGUGUUAAUGCAUUGAAAGAAGAGGAUCAUCUAUGUUCCUCGCACGAGCACUACUUUUUCCUCCAGUCUCAGUUUGGUUUAAGCGAAGACUUGGUGAUCGACGAGCCCGUACAGCAGAUGCUGUCUUGUUCCGACGCCAAAAGACGUCAAGGAGGCAUCGCAGUCUAACUGGCUUCUGUUACCAGCUCUCGCGUUCUGCAAACCUUUAGCAAGUAUCGGGUCCGCAUUGCGCAAGAGAGGUCCUGUUCGCUCACGAGAGCUCUAUUUCGAGAACGUGAACCAAGGCGGCAACCUUUACCAAGGUUCGGCGCAUCCAGAUGGGAGAUGUUUUCGUGUACAAGCAUGUGCCAGGUCUUGC